rnacentral:misc_RNA from 1 species
AACGCACGAGACCUGCGGACCUGCGGAAGGAUCAUUAACGAGUUAGGGUCUUCCAGGCCCGACCUCCCAACCCCAUGUUUAUUGAACCUCUGUUGCUUCGGCGGGCCCGUCUCACGGCCGCCGGAGGAGUCGCCGCGAGGCGCCCUCUGGCCAGCGUCCGCCGAUAGCCAAACCUCAAAACUCUGAAUGAAUCGUGUCAUGAUGUCUGAGUCUAUGAUUAAAUUAAAGCAAAACUUUUAG